AUGGCUCGUUUCAAUUCUGCUUUACUCAUCACUCUCCUUUUCUUCAUCUUCUAUUCCUUACCAUCUUCUAUAGAUGCUCGGAAUAUUCUCAAAAUGGAGACACAAGAGGUGCCUUCAUUAAAGGGUACCCUACCCUUAGUUGAUGUUAUUAAUAACCUCAACAUUUAUAGAAAUGGAAGACUCUUUGCUCAUCUUGCCAACAAUGGAAGAGUUCUUGUCUCUUCUGUUCUUGUGCUGAAUGUAUAUAUAAUAUAUGUGAUAAUAAUUGUACAUCAUCAAUCAAGUUCUUGUAUCAUAAUUCCAUAA